rnacentral:rRNA from 1 species
AUUGAACGCUGGCGGCAGGCCUAACUCAUGCAAGUCGAGCGGAUGAAGGGAGCUUGCUCCUGGAUUCAGCGGCGGACGGGUGAGUAAUGCCUAGGAAUCUGCCUGGUAGUGGGGGAUAACGUCCGGAAACGGGCGCUAAUACCGCAUACGUCCUGAGGGAGAAAGUGGGGGAUCUUCGGACCUCACGCUAUCAGAUGAGCCUAGGUCGGAUUAGCUAGUUGGUGGGGUAAAGGCCUACCAAGGCGACGAUCCGUAACUGGUCUGAGAGGAUGAUCAGUCACACUGGAACUGAGACACGGUCCAGACUCCUACGGGAGGCAGCAGUGGGGAAUAUUGGACAAUGGGCGAAAGCCUGAUCCAGCCAUGCCGCGUGUGUGAAGAAGGUCUUCGGAUUGUAAAGCGCUUUAAGUUGGGAGGAAGGGCAGUAAGUUAAUACCUUGCUGUUUUGACGUUACCAACAGAAUAAGCACCGGCUAACUUCGUG